rnacentral:lncRNA from 1 species
GUUUGAAAUCCGUGAUAAAAGAAUUACGUUUUAUGAGUAUAAAGUGACUUAUAGACCCAAUGGGUCGGGUGUAUUUCAUUGUGUAUGUCAUAUAUUUGUACUUUACUGAUCUGUGAUUACACAUGUCACUAUAAUAAAAAUUUACUUACUUACUUACUUACUAUAUAUUCGUAAGUAAAAACAUCAAAUUAUUACUGUGGAAAAACCUAUUGAAUUUCUUCUGAUUAUUUUUUUUUCUUCCGCCAAAUUUUGUUCUUGCGAUAAACAUUUGUUUCGCAAUAUGUCGCUUAGAUAUUUGGAAUAUGAUAUCGAACAGUUUAUGCGCUUUUGAAAUUUACCCUGCAUAACCGAAUAAUUUUCUUUGUAGGAGUUAUCUCCCCAAACACUGUUUUCCUUGUAAUCGUAAAAGAAUGCAACAAAUUUAUUUUAUAAAAUUGCUCAUCACAUCCUUUGCCUGAUUUGUCCUAUUUUGACCGAAGCAAUAUGAACGCUCCAUAUGAGAGUUAUUUCCCCUUAUGCAUUUGAUAUAAGUGAUAUGCAUUUCUAUCUUGUAAACCAUAAGUGAUAGAGACCUAAGAUUUUUAGAUUUGAGGUCCUUGGUAUAAAAAAAUGAAAAUUAGGUCAAGGUCAAAG